rnacentral:rRNA from 1 species
ACAUGCCUUUGCGUGGGGGAUAACUAUUGGAAACGAUAGCUAAUACCGCAUGAUGUCUACGGACCAAAGAGGGCUUCGGCUCUCGCGCAAAGAGUGGCCUAAGCGAGAUUAGCUUGUUGGUGAGGUAAAGGCUCACCAAGGCGACGAUCUCUAGCUGUUCUGAGAGGAAGAUCAGCCACACUGGAACUGAGACACGGUCCAGACUCCUACGGGAGGCAGCAGUGGGGAAUAUUGCACAGUGGGGGCAACCCUGAUGCAGCCAUGCCGCGUGUGUGAAGAAGGCCUUCGGGUUGUAAAGCACUUUCAGUUGUGAGGAAGGGUUAAUGGUUAAUACCCAUUAGCUGUGACGUUAGCAACAGAAGAAGGACCGGCUAACUCCGUGCCAGCAGCCGCGGUAAUACGGAGGGUCCGAGCGUUAAUCGGAAUUACUGGGCGUAAAGCGCACGCAGGCGGUUUGUUAAGCUAGAUGUGAAAGCCCCGGGCUCAACCUGGGAAUUGCAUUUAGAACUGGCAGGCUAGAGUCUUGGAGAGGGGAGUGGAAUUCCAGGUGUAGCGGUGAAAUGCGUAGAUAUCUGGAGGAACAUCAGUGGCGAAGGCGACUCCCUGGCCAAGACUGACGCUCAUGUGCGAAAGUGUGGGUAGCGAACAG